GAAUACAAUAGGUAGAAAUGACAAAGAAAAUGAAAGCUGGAAAUAGAAUAAAUAACAUAAUGGAAAAGCCUUUUCUAAAGAAUUCUCGUCCUUGCUGCAGACAAGGGUUCUGGGUGGGGAUGAGCUUUGUGCCUGUGCCAUGAAGUUUAGCUCAACCCUGUUUUAAUCUGAAAUUUACCUGCCACUAACAUCACUAGAUUGUGCUUUAUGAAUAUAGCAAUUAUGGGUAAAUGCAUUAUUCUUAAUUAAGCAAUAUUGAAAACUAUACUCUCAAUCUUAAUGUUAUACCUAAUUAUCACAUCGUUAACCGUUAGAUUUUUUUGUUUUUGUUUAUUUAAUGCUGAUUAGAGCUUGAACUUUAGAUCUCACAUUAGUGGAGAAGACUUCAGUACCCAACUAAAUUGGUUGAGAAUAUCGUGUUUUUUCCUCCAUGGUCUAGAUAAAAUUUGAACCCGUCAAUGAGGAAAUAAUUGCUAAUGGUCAUGCAUCUCAGCGUGCUGUUGCCGCUGUGUUGACCAUGUCGGAGAUUAACAACAGUAUGUGGCCGAUUUAUCGGGAGGGGGCUCACUUUUACUCUUUGCUGCCAUGUCUUCCAUCAAUGCUGCAUCUGUCCCUGGUUGUCUAACUGAAAAAAAA
rnacentral:misc_RNA from 1 species